CCUACGGGGGGCUGCAGUGGGGAAUAUUGGACAAUGGGGGCAACCCUGAUCCAGCCAUGUCGCGUGUGUGAAGAAGGCCCUCGGGUUGUAAAGCACUUUCAGUGAGGAAGAACGCCUGGUGGUUAAUACCCAUCAGGAAAGACAUCACUCACAGAAGAAGCACCGGCUAACUCCGUGCCAGCAGCCGCGGUAAUACGGAGGGUGCGAGCGUUAAUCGGAAUUACUGGGCGUAAAGCGCGCGUAGGUGGCUUGAUAAGCCGGUUGUGAAAGCCCCGGGCUCAACCUGGGAACGGCAUCCGGAACUGUCAAGCUAGAGUGCAGGAGAGGAAGGUAGAAUUCCCGGUGUAGCGGUGAAAUGCGUAGAGAUCGGGAGGAAUACCAGUGGCGAAGGCGGCCUUCUGGACUGACACUGACACUGAGGUGCGAAAGCGUGGGUAGCAAACAGGAUUAGAUACCCCGGUAGUC
rnacentral:rRNA from 1 species